ACAAUUUUCACUGCAGCAUGGAAGUGAUGAUGAAUUAAUAUUUAUUAUAAUUAUUUCUCAGAUAAUUGCCGUUUAUAUUUAUCUUGAUUCCGCCUCACAAAUGUAUUUAUUUCAAAAACAUUUUUGUUCUAGAUGGCUAGUGGUUUCUCCAAAUUAUCUUAUGACCUGAGACACCAUUGUCACUCUCAAGUUUAACAAGAAAUACAGGUGCCAAGACAGGAAGAUUUAAGAAAAGGUAGAUAUAAUGUAUGGAAAAACAAUACAAAACCCACUACAAACAUUCACUGAGAAUUUAUAUGCCAAAUAUGGAGUAAAGACUGUUUUUUUUUCCUGAUUAUUAGUUUUUUAAUACAUGCAGAGGAAUAUUACCAGUAAGAGCUUCCUUUCAACUCCUUAUGCUGGAGGUAUCAUGCAUCAAUAAUUUCAUAUUUGUUUCUAUGAAAACCAAGGAGAUUGGAACGUGUAAAGAUAAAGUACGUAGAAAUUAAUACAACAUUUCAUAUUCACAUUUACCAACAGACUUUUUGGCUUUACUCCUAAUUAAAUUCCUUUCAGUAAACAUCUAAUGGGCCCCUGCAAGGUACUGAAUAAUACAAUGAAACAUUCUUAUUACUUAGAGAUGUAGGUUGUAGACUCAUUGAAAUGGUCUCUCUUGGAGUUAUAUGUGACAUCAAAUAGCCGUGCUGAUUUGUUUUUUAUUGGAUUACUGGUUGCUUGGUAUUAUUAAAUAGCAAGGAAAUGAUUCUCUACUGAAGACCAGUGUGAUACCCUCUGACACAAUGGAAAAAAUGUAACUUUGUAGUAAUGUUGAUCUACCCCUAAGGAGGCUUUAGAUAUUUUUAUUUU
rnacentral:lncRNA from 1 species